ACUGUCACUCUACGGGAGGCAGCAGUGGGGAAUAUUGCACAAUGGGCGCAAGCCUGAUGCAGCCAUGCCGCGUGUGUGAAGAAGGCCUUCGGGUUGUAAAGCACUUUCAGUCGUGAGGAAGGUAGUGUAGUUAAUAGCUGCAUUAUUUGACGUUAGCGACAGAAGAAGCACCGGCUAACUCCGUGCCAGCAGCCGCGGUAAUACGGAGGUGCGAGCGUUAAUCGGAAUUACUGGGCGUAAAGCGCAUGCAGGUGGUUUGUUAAGUCAGAUGUGAAAGCCCGGGGCUCAACCUCGGAAUUGCAUUUGAAACUGGCAGGCUAGAGUACUGUAGAGGGGGGUAGAAUUUCAGGUGUAGCGGUGAAAUGCGUAGAGAUCUGAAGGAAUACCGGUGGCGAAGGCGGCCCCCUGGACAGAUACUGACACUCAGAUGCGAAAGCGUGGGGAGCAAACAGGAUUAGAUACCCUGGUAG
rnacentral:rRNA from 1 species